GACGAACGCUGGCGGCGUGCUUAACACAUGCAAGUCGAACGGAAAGACCCUGCGUUUGUUGGGUGCUCGAGUGGCGAACGGGUGAGUAACACAUGAGUAACCUGCCCUUGACUUUGUGAUAACUUCAGGGAACUGGGGCUAAUACCGGAUAUGAGCUCCUGCUGCAUGGUGGUGGUUGGAAAGUUUCGGCGGUUGGGGAUGGACUCGCGGCUUAUCAGCUUGUUGGGGGGGUAGUGGCUUACCAAGGCUUUGACGGGUAGCCGGCCUGAGAGGGUGACCGGCCACAUUGGGACUGAGAGACGGCCCAGACUCCUACGGGAGGCAGCAGUGGGGAAUAUUGCACAAUGGGCGGAAGCCUGAUGCAGCAACGCCGCGUGCGGGAUGACGGCCUUCGGGUUGUAAACCGCUUUCGCCUGUGACGAAGCGUGAGUGACGGUAAUGGGUAAAGAAGCACCGGCUAACUACGUG
rnacentral:rRNA from 1 species